UACGUAGGGUGCAAGCGUUAUCCGGAAUUAUUGGGCGUAAAGAGCUCGUAGGCGGUUUGUCGCGUCUGCUGUGAAAACUGGAGGCUCAACCUCCAGCCUGCAGUGGGUACGGGCAGACUAGAGUGCGGUAGGGGAGAUUGGAAUUCCUGGUGUAGCGGUGGAAUGCGCAGAUAAUCAGGAGGAACACCGAUGGCGAAGGACGGUUCUCU
rnacentral:rRNA from 1 species